rnacentral:rRNA from 1 species
AGAAUCAACGCUGGCGGCGUGCCUAACACAUGCAAGUCGAACGAGAAAGUGGAGCAAUCCAUGAGUAAAGUGGCGACCGGGUGAGUAACACGUGACUAACCUACCUUCGAGUGGGGGAUAACCUCGGGAAACCGAGGCUAAUACCGCAUAACAUCGUGAGAUCAAAGCAGUAAUGCGCUGGAAGAGGGGGUCGCGGCUGAUUAGCUAGUUGGCGGGGUAAUGGCCCACCAAGGCGAAGAU